rnacentral:rRNA from 1 species
UACGUAGGGGGGCUAGCGUUGUCCGGAAUCAUUGGGCGUAAAGCGCGUGUAGGCGGUCCGGUAAGUCCGCUGUGAAAGUCGGGGGCUCAACCCUCGGAUGCCGGUGGAUACUGUCGGGGCUUGAGUACGGGAAGAGGCGAGUGGAAUUCCGUGGUGUAGCGGUGAAAUGCGCAGAUAUCAGGAAGAACACCAAUGGCGAAA